UGACGUAAUGUGCCCAGAAAAGCAAUAAAAGCCUGUCCAGGCAGGGGUCAGGGCACUCUCUCUCACUUAGAGAGGGGCCAUGCUGUCCCUUUUUCUCCACAGAACUUCUAUAGUCUGUGCAAAUUUGUUCAUCGCAGCCACAACACCCGGACCCUGUGGGCUGGGGUCCACAUCAUGAUUCAUCUUUA